AUGGCGGUUUGAGUUAGUUGUGGUAGUUAUCGUGUUCUUUGGGGAGGUCGUUUGGUGAACUACAGGUCAUUUGACCAUCUGAGGUUAGUAUGCACUGCAAGGAUUAUGGUUCCGGAUCUCGAACGUACGCAAGCAACAGAUGCGCCGUGCCCAUCGGAUCGAGUAACUUGUGCGAGCGUCUUGCUGCAGCGUGCUGUUUGGUUAUUCAGGCACCUCCAGUAUGGAGUUCAUCCACCAGCUCGGCUGCGUCUAUGCCGUGUUGUGCUUCAACUAGGCUAGCCAUCCGGCAGGUCGUGGCCAGCUGCGACGCGCGCUUCGACGUCGAAGGUGCAUUCCGGAAUACUCGAACGCAAAACAGACAUCCGGAGAAAUCACCUAGAUGUGAGGUUUUGCGUACAGCCGCGAUACCAAGCGACUUUCACACCUUUCAUCUUCUGGUCACUCUACACACGGCGAUACCGUGGGUAAUGGCCGAGGAGCAGACGACACGGAGACGCGGAAUGAGAGAAAAGACUCAUUCAUUGGUUGGACCCCGCUCGUUCUUAUGCCACUUGGUCAUCUUAGGGUUGGUUUUUCCACUUUUUCUAUUCACGUGUUCUGCAGUAGUCUGAUCUCCACUUCGUCGGGUCUCAUAUCUCCAUAUUUUUUAAUUUUUCAAUCCAUCAGUCAACCAAUCAAUCAAUCAACGCAGUUCUAGAGUGUUGUACAGAUGCGCGUGAGCAACACGUUAAAAAAGAAUGAGAAGCAAGAGUUUGUACGCAGUUCAAUUUCGCAUUGGCAGUGGCAACGAUUUGUUUGCUUGCCCAGGUUCGCCUCGUGUUGGUGGAAUGGUCUCUUACGCGUUGGAACCUUACGCGACUAAUGCCGCUGCUCUCGGCGUCAUGCACACAACGCAUAUUACUGUUAAUUGAUGAUCAACUGUAAGAAUGACAUCAUGUUUGCA